rnacentral:rRNA from 1 species
GACGUAGGGCGCGAGCGUUGUCCGGAUUUAUUGGGCGUAAAGAGCUCGUAGGCGGCUUGUCGCGUCGAUCGUGAAAACUUGGGCUCAACCCCAAGCCUGCGGUCGAUACGGGCAGGCUCGAGUUCGGUAGGGGAGACUGGAAUCCUGGUGUAGCGGUGAAAUGCGCAGAUAUCAGGAGGAACACCGGUGGCGAAGGCGGGUCUCUGGGCCGAUACUGACGCUGAGGAGCGAAAGCGUGGGGAGCGAACAGG